AUUGUUCAUAUCACUGCAAAAAUAUUACUGGAGCAGGUUCAAGCUUUAUGGAAGGUCAAAAAUGAGAAUAUUUCAAAUUUGUAUAAAGAGGGGAAGAAACGACCGUCUUGAGGAACCUAAACAAGGAAGCAGAUCUCAAGCAAACUAGGUGGUCAACCUUGCUGAUGAUGAAAUCCUAGAGGUAUAUAAAACAUAAUCCAGAU